UAAACAACUAUAAUCGAGUAGUUCUACUUCUAUACUAUUUUCUUUUUCUUUUUUUCUUUUUUAAGUUGCAGAAGGAACCGGUAUUUGGACCAAUUAGAAAGCCGAGGCGUACUGGUUUUUGGUUUAUAAAUUUGAAUCAUGAAGUUUUUCUGAGUUUUUCAUCUCACUGGUAAAGAGUGCAAAUUGGAGUUACUCAUUUGUUCUUAGCAGAAAAGGAAAAAGAAGAAGUUGAUUACUGAGAAAAGAAAUGGAUUUCUUUCACUUUAGCUGCUGCAUUGCGUUCUGAUCGGAAGCAACCAGAAAUUUUUUUAUAGAAAAACUGCAUAUUGAUUCAAAGUUUAAACAAAAAAAAUUUUCUCUUGAAUUGUUGAUUCCGUAGACUUUCGUAUAAUUUAUUCUUUCUUUUGUGUGUUGUUAUUGUGCCUUAUAUUUUGGAUUUUGAUGUCUGUUUUCUUAUUAAACGUCUAUGCAUUGUACGUGUUUGUGAAAAUGCGUGUAAGAAUUAUGUGAUUUGUUUUUGCAUGCUUAGAGUUCAUUGGAGUUUCUUUGCAUUCCAUUUGCUAGAAAAUGCCCAAUGCACGCCCCGGAGGGACAUUAACUAUUCAGACAAUUGCUGUUGUUGUGAGCUUGGAUACGAGUUUUUGCGUACAUAUAGAGGGUGGAUUGAUCAAGCAAAAGAUGGAAGGGAGAUAUGGCUACAUUUAAUGGUAUCCAAGUACAGGCUAAAUGGACUCUAGAUAGGCAAAGGCAGAAACAGAUGAUUCAAGUAAAAAUGCAACAAACGGCGAACUGUUACAAAUGGGACCCUUCGAAAAUGGACUUUCACUUUCAGACACCUUGGUCCACUCCGGCGAACUUUAGAGUGGGCCUUGAAAAUUUUGCUAUGAAGUGCAGAAAUGUCAAGGUGGAAUUUGAACGUAGACCAGAGGUUCCUGCAUUAUUUUAGUGAGAGAAGUAUACAAAAUUACUAGUACAAUGGAUGCGGAUGUAAGACCCAUCCAUCACGUGGAAUUGAAAAUUGGGUAGCGUUUGUUACUUGUUACACAUUUUUAAAACUAAAGUCGUGUCUUCCAUUGAAAAUUAUUCUGUAAGUUGUCAUGCCAUUCAAGAAAACUUAAUUAGCUAACUAUGACAUGUUUUUGAAGGUAAUGAGAAAAGUCUUCCAGGUGACGAGUAAGAUUGUAAUUGGUAUCUCCUCUGACCAU